UACGUAGGGGGCGAGCGUUUGUCCGGAGUUACUGGGCGUAAAGCGCACGCAGGCGGUCUGUGAAGUUUGGAGUGACAGUUAGUGGCUCAACCACCAAAGUGCUUUGAAAACUGACAGACUUGAGGGCUUCAGAGGGACACGGAAUCCGGGUGGAGUGGUGAAAUGCGUAGAGAUCCGGAGGAACACCAAAGGCGAAGGCAGUGUCCUGGGGAGUACCUGACGCUCAGGUGACGGAAAGCCAGGGGAGCGAACGGG
rnacentral:rRNA from 1 species